rnacentral:rRNA from 1 species
GACGAACGCUGGCGGCGUGCUUAACACAUGCAAGUCGAACGGAAAGGCCCUGCUUUUGUGGGGUGCUCGAGUGGCGAACGGGUGUGUAACACGUGAGUCACCUGCCCUUGACUUUGGGAUAACUUCAGGACACUGGGGCUAAUACCGGAUAGGAGCUCCUGCUGCUUGGUGGGGGUUGGAAAGUUUCGGCGGUUGGGGAUGGACUCGCGGCUUAUCAGCUUGUUGGUGGGGUAGUGGCUUACCAAGGCUUUGACGGGUAGCCGGCCUGAGAGGGUGACCGGCCACAUUGGGACUGAGAUACGGCCCAGACUCCUACGGGAGGCAGCAGUGGGGAAUAUUGCACAAUGGGCGGAAGCCUGAUGCAGCAACGCCGCGUGCGGGAUGACGGCCUUCGGGUUGUAAACCGCUUUCGCCUGUGACGAAGCGUGAGUGACGGUAAUGGGUAAAGAAGCACCGGCUAACUACGUG